AUUUAAAAUCAAAUGCCUAAAAAGUAAUACAUGAUUCGUCUGUGGACUUUGUAAUAGUGUAUCGUUACAGUUAUCUGUUUAGCUAUUACAUUUUUAAAGAUUAUUUACACCGUCCGCCGUUGACCAAUUGAUGAUAACAUAAAUCAAGCUUGUCUCUUUUAAAAUAACAAAAAAUGGAUAAAGACAGCUUUGCGUAGGGGGAUAAUUCAUGUGAUAUAAUUUUGGUAAGUUUACAGAAAUAGAAGGUCCAUAAAGCAUUAAUCGAGUAAAAAUGGAGCAAUUUCAGAAAACUUUAAUGAUUGGUUUAGGAGGUGAUGGAAAUACCUGAUGGGUGCCCCCACAUAAUGCAAUGUUCAAGUCCGUAUCUUAUAUAAAGUAACCCCAUAAAAGAUUUUUACUAAAAUUCGAAAUAGACGGUGCACAAUACAGUCAUUAUCAUUUAUGAUAAGGAAACCGAAUAAGAUUAAUUAAUAGUUAUAUCAGUGACGGAUUCAAAAAAAGGGGAUCCGGCAGUUUGAAACCCUUUUUUAACUAUCAAUGCAUUUGUAUGGGAACAUAUAUUUGGAAUCCCCUUUUCUCCUAGAUUGGACCCCCUCUCCAUUUAAAAAAUGGCCGGAACCCCCAAUGUAUAUUAAGUGGUUUAUGAGGAGAUGCGCUUACAAAACCGGCGAAACAUAUUGUACUGGUCCAACGGACGAACGGAAAGACGGACUUCUUUAUCACUAUAACCCCCGCUUGACAAAGUGGUGUACAAUUGAGUGUCAAAGAGACAGCUCUACAUCUUAAACCAAGUGAAGGAACUGUGAUCAAUUAAAGGCUACAGUACGGCCUCGAAUGUGUGUAAAUACAUGCAUUUUUAUAUAACAACUAAAUCUGUGUGUUUGUACAAUUUUAAGUAUAACGGAGGACAUUUCUGAAACUUAUAUACUAGUAUACAUCAAACCUUCCUCUUAUUUUAGCAACAUUUAAACAUCCUUAUACUUAAUGUAGUAAGUCGAGUACACCCCAUCAAGCUAAAACAUGUUUCAUAAGUUUUCAGGAUGUGAAUGUAUUGAAAUAUAUUUGUGUUUUUUAGAAAAAUGCCACCUUCUAAUGUAUCGUAAAUAACUUUGAAAUCAUCACUAGAAUACAGUGACAUAAAGACUGAUCAUACAGUUUUAAAAUAUACAAGCGAGACUGAUCGUACAGUGAGAAAUUCAAACAAGUGUAAUUUUCUUAUUUCUGGCUUCAAAGAUCUGGUUGAAACUUUUACCACCACUUGAAAUAUACUUCAUUUAGUUAAUUAAGUCAGGUUUUUACGUUAAUUUGUACACUAAGAGGGUAAAAAGAUUGUUUUUAGGUUCGCCGACUGAUUUUUCUUAGUGAUGCACUUGAAAAUCUUUUGAUUAAGGUAAAGAUACGAAUAAUGAAUGUGCGGAAUUUAAUUCUAAACCAUUUGAGAAUAUCGAUGUCGGCUGAAUUAAUCAUUAAGCAAUGUACAGAUGAUCAACCUACCGUUUAAAUUCAGUAUACCCAUCAAAUUUAAAAUGUGAUCCAAAAAGUUCUCGCUUCGAAAAUCGCGACUUCCGGAUAGCGUACAGAAUAGUAUCUACACUGUG
rnacentral:lncRNA from 1 species